CCCUUCCACCAGGUGAGGAUGCAGCGAGAAGGCACUGGCUGUGAGCCAUGAAGAGCGCCUUCACCAGAAUUCGACCAUGCUGGCACCUUGAUCUUGGACUUCCCAUCUUCUAGAACUGGGCCAGCCCCAUGGUGGGGUGGUUAAGUUCCAGCACUCCGCUGCCGCAGCCCAGGGUUUCACCAGUUCGGAUCCUGGGCGUGGACAUGGUACCGCUCCUCAGGCCACGUUGAGGAGGCAUCCCACAUGCCACAACUGGAAGGACCUGCAACUAAGAUAUACAACUAUGUACUGGGGGGAUUUG
rnacentral:lncRNA from 1 species